rnacentral:lncRNA from 1 species
UUCGGGAGAAGUUUUACUGAAUUCAUCGGUGAGGUUUUUAGAUUUGGGUUAUAACCAUUUUAGAGGACCAUUUCCAAAACCACCACUCUCUAUCAACCUCUUAUCUGCAUGGAACAAUAGUUUCACAGGAAACAUACCUCUUGAAACCUGCAACCGAAGCUCUCUUGCUGUUCUUGACCUAUCCUACAACAACUUAACUGGUCCAAUUCCUCGUUGUUUGAGUAAUUUCCAAGAGUCUCUCAUUGUAGUGAACCUCCGGAAGAACAACUUGGAAGGAAGUCUUCCAGAUAUAUUCUCUGAUGGUGCCUUGCUUCGGACACUUGACGUUGGCUACAAUCAACUAACCGGGAAGCUUCCAAGGUCUCUUCUGAAUUGCUCUAUGCUAAGGUUUGUAAGCGUAGACCACAACAGAAUCAAAGACACAUUUCCUUUCUGGCUUAAGGCUUUACCUGAUUUACAAGCUCUUACCCUCCGUUCAAACAAAUUCCAUGGCCCUAUAUCUCCUCCUGAUCGAGGUCCUCUUGCGUUUCCCAAGCUGCGCAUACUUGAAAUAGCAGAUAACAACCUUAUAGGAAGCUUGCCACCAAAUUACUUUGUGAAUUGGGAAGCAUCAUCACUCCACAUGAAUGAAGAUGGGAGAAUCUAUAUGGGUGACUACAACAAUCCUUACUAUAUAUAUGAAGAUACAGUGGAUUUGCAAUACAAAGGUCUAUUCAUGGAGCAAGGAAAGGUCCUUACUUCCUAUGCCACCAUUGAUUUUUCUGGGAACAAACUUGAAGGACAGAUUCCCGAAUCCAUUGGUCAUUUGAAGGCAUUGAUUGCACUCAACUUAUCAAACAACGCAUUCACAGGCCAUAUUCCUCCAUCUUUGGCAAACGUGACAGAGCUGGAGUCACUAGACCUCUCAAGAAACCAACUGUCCGGGAAUAUUCCUAAAGGACUCGGGAGCCUCUCGUUUUUGGCGUACAUAAGUGUGGCCCACAACCAACUCACAGGUGAAAUACCACAAGGGACACAAAUCACUGGGCAAUCUAAAUCCUCCUUUGAAGGGAAUGCAGGGCUUUGUGGUCUUCCUUUGGAGGAGACUUGCUUUGGGAGUAAUGCGCCACCAACACAACAGCCUAAGGAAGAAGACGAAGAAGAGGAACAAGUGUUAAACUGGAAAGCAAUGCUUAUAGGGUAUGGGCCUGGACUGCUGUUCGGGUUGGUAAUAGCACACGUUAUUGCUUCAUACAAGCCGAAGUGGUCGGAGAAGCGCAAGGAAGUCAAUCCAGUUAGAUUGUUUAUGACUUUGGAUUCAAGAUGGGAUAGUUUUAAUAAUAAAAAUAACGUAGAACAAAAAAGUGAUAUGUAAAUGUAGUAUGUGGAUAUAUUGUUACCUGAUGUAAGAAAGAGGUUUUACUAGUUAGUUUCUGUAACUUUUGGUUCCCUUAAAUAAGAUCUCUGUUUGGCUGAUAAUGUCCUGAUGUAUGUCUUGAUAUAUUGGUUGAGAAAGAGGCUUAUGAUAUACUGUUUUGGUUCUUCUCUAAUUCUUGAACUAACUCGAGCUGAAAUUUCUUUAUAACGCACGACGUCAUCUUCCAGCAUCCUGUGAAGACAAACUGGAUCAAAUAAACAUAAGAGAGUCAGAGUAAGAGAGUCUCCAGAAUUCAAUCUCAGACCAUACAUUCAUGAGAUCCCUCAUUCCAGUGCAAAUGGCACCACCCACCACUGAUACUAAUCAGUUUAAUGUGAAUAAGAAAAAAAAUUGUAUCAUUAUAGGACUUACCAAAUACAAAUUUACAAUAAUCUGCUUAACAGUUUUAACUAAUUUUCUCAGAUAACAAUGUGUGGAGAUGAGAACUUGUUUCUCAAGCAAAUGAAGAUCAAAAGCAACUCAAGGCUUAACUCUAGUCAAGUUAAAGUUGGGUUGGGAUACUUUUGGGACCACAAAGGGGAGCCUCUCCGUUUUGUCAGUUUGUUCUCAAAAGGGUUGCGGUUUGUUUUAGCACAAGGAAGCCCUAGUUAGCUGUCUCUAUAUAUAGGUGCUUAUCUUCAUUGAGAGAAGCUAAGGGAGAAGGGAGUAGAGAGAGAGAGCAAUAGCACAAUGUAGAUCUAAGAAGAAGAGUUAGUAAGGUAUAGAGAUGAGAGAAAACAUGUAUUAGUAUAAGCUUGUCAUUGUUGUUCUCUGAGUUAUACAGGAAGUGGUACAGAGUGAGUCUAAGUACUAGUGAAGGGUAUUAGACGGGUCACUUGUUGCUUCUUGUUUGUAAUACCUUCUUCUUCAUAGUGAAGUUGUGGAUCUAUCGAUCCUAACCGGACGUAGCGGCUCGUUAAUGCCGUGAACCGGGUUAACAAAUCCUUUGUGUGCUCCUCUUCUUCCUUCAUCUUGCUCUAUUUUAUCUUCCUCCUCUUCUCGAUACUUUACUUGAUUUGUUUCCGUAAUAUGGUGUUGAUGACAAAUGAGAUAAAGCUUGAGCCUUUGAGAGGCUAAAAACCUCUACACAAUGAAAUAUCAUGAGAACUCUAUCAAUUAUAACUGAAACUAAUCCUUACAGAUCAAACUCCAAUCUCAUGGAUUGGUUAAAAGGUUACAAACCAAGUUCUUCAUUAUAAAGCACUAAGACUACCAAAUUAAUGCCGUUUAUUUUAUGUUACGGCCACAUUAACCCCUAAACCCUAGAAUCAAGCUCACUAAAUUGAUUUCGUUUCAUGACUCGGUCAAAACUAAUUUGACCCUUGAGAUUUUUUUUGGUGUUCUUAACUAAAGCAGCGUUUGAAUAAAACAAGGAGAAUUAAUUAGCAAACCCCAAAAAAAAGAAAGAGCAAUUAUUCUUGCUCGUGAAAUCACGAGAAAAUAUGCGAAAAUGAAAUCACCUGAAGCUCCUUGAUUUCGGAUUCCUCCACCAAAACUUCGACGAGAGUGACGGUGAUCGCAAUGGCUCCGCCGUUGUCAAGUCAAAAUCUCUUUCUCGACUUGUUUAAACUAUGCAUACCGGUUUAAUAUAAAUCGAAAUGCAGUCUUGGUCUAAACUGGUUUACUUACUGCUGGUUUAGUUUAAUGAUGGGUCUAAUUUUUUGACAUAUAUUUGGAUGACAAGGUGUGAUUCAUAACCCAUCCCUACUACGCCGGGUAACGCGACUUAAUGGAAUCGAACUCCGGUGGGAAGGCGGAGUCAAAUGGACUUAACCACUUGAUUAAAGGCACAUCAAUGAUGAGUCUAAUUGUAAACCUGUUUUUUCAAAAUUUCCAACACAUUCAUCGUUGUUCAAUUAAUUAUAAGCUAUGACUUAUUUCAUCUGACGAUUUCUUUGGAGAAAAUAAGCAAUUUAUUAAUAAACACACGAAACAUCAAACAUGAACCAAACAUACAGAAAAAAAAAACAAAAAAAAAACGGACAAGCUGAUGAAGGAUCAUAUGGUAUCACAUAUUCACGGCCCUCCCUUGUUUUAUUUUAUUUGGUAUCACUGAAAAGAUGAUAAAGACCCUCCCUUAUUGCAUCACACACACACACAUAUUGACAAACACGCAUCAUCUACGAACAGCGUCUAUGCAGAGUCAACUCCAUAAAAGAAGAGAUCACCAAACCGAUCAUUAGUUUGAGCUUUCCCACCAAGCAUCACCAGUCCUUUCUUACCAUCAAUGGUCCCAGUCGUGGACGCAGACCAUCCUCUGAUACUUGGAGUCUCUUCCUCUUCACCAAACUUAUCCAGCUUCUCCCACUUCAACGUCUCUGUAUCAAACGCAAAAGUCCCACCACUCAAUUGACCCGGACCCUCGUGAGCUUUUGGGUCCAUCGCUAUCUCACCUCCAAAGAUCAAAAGGUAUUUCCCAACAACCGCACUAGCGAACACACUCCUCGCACAAGGCUUCUCACCGAACGUUUCCACUUGUGUCCACUUGUCUUGAACAGGAUCGUAGCAAUGAACAUCAUCAACUUCACAUCCGUUGAAUCCAUACACAACCCAUACCUUCCCUUGUACCACUUCGAGCCCGGCUCCUCCUCUUAUGCUAAAGGAACCUCCCGGGGUCGAACACUGAACCCACUUGUGAUCAACGAUGUUGUAAGCGUCUAGUGUCUUGAGCCGAACCGUAGCGCUCACUCCACCGAAAACGUAAACGUUUUUCUCAUCGGCUGCCAUCGAGUGGAAGCUACGAGGAGUGGGUCCUUGUUCGACCGGAGUUAGCAGUUUCCACUCGUUCUUGAUCGUAUCAAACGAGUAGAAGCCGUUGUAUUUUCGUGAAGCGUCUCGGCCUCCAAAGACAUAGAGGCUUGAUCCAAUUGACACCAUACGGACGCCUAAGCAAGAGAGGUUUGGAACGUCUCCGGUGGCUGGAGAAAUGGACCAAGUCCGGGUCUCGAGGUCGAAGACAUAAAGGUGUUUGUCGAUGGGCUGAUUUGGUGUGAGCUCACCACCAAAGGAGUAAAUCUUGUUUCCUACUUGUGCUAUGUCAUGUGAGCAUCUUGGCCCUGGACCCUCUCCUUUUUGCUCCACCUUAUAAAUAAAUCAUAUUUGUUAGUUAGAGAUUUGGAUUCUGAUUAGUAACAUGCAUGCAUAAUAGUGGAAUUAUUCUGCGAUUCUUGCAGAUUAGUGAAAAUUUUAAAAGUAAAACCGUCAUUAAUAUAUAUGGAUUUCCAAUAAAGACAAGUGUUUUGUUUUCUCUUAUUAUGAUUUUUUUUUUUCCAUUUUUAUUGACUUUAUCAAUCAAAAACCUUAAUUGUGUUGUAUGGGUUAAAAAUCAUUUUUUAUGUUGGUCUAAGAUACUACUAAUACCUUUAUCCACUUUCCACGCAAUUUUGGAGUGGACGGCAAAGAAAUAUAGGCUCCAAGUGAGUGCAAAACAUCAGUGGAACGUCCGUGAAACCCAACGAUUUUGCCACCUUGGAGGACAAACUUGGUCCCGGAGACAAUUCCAAACGGCGGAGAAGUUUUGCCUUUAUAAGUCUUGAACGUAAGAGUUGAGAUGAUCUCUUUUGUUGAGACCCCAAAAACUUUCUCAUGAUAACCUUCCACGUAUACUAUGUAGUCAUCUGCAUCAACCUCAAACUACAAAGAGAAUUCUCAAUGAGAAAACCAAUAAAUUAACAAUCUCAACAUGCAUAAAUAUAUCUAUAUUAGUACCUCCUCAGCUCCUAGCAAAGUCUUCUUCCCACGUUCAUCGCCAACAACCACUUGAGAACCAUUGACAUACUCAAACUUGACGAAGGCGAUACCAUCUUCGCCUUGCCCUACGUAUACUUUUCUAACACCGUCGUAAGAACCAUCAUCCCAUACAUCUCCUAUCUCACCACCCUUUGCUUCCACCUUUUGUGCCAUCUCUUUUGCUUGCGAGUGAUCAAAUCUUACCAAUAUUGCCUGUUACUACGAAUAUAAUCAAAUCUUAUACAAACUACAAUCAUAUAAGAAAGAGGGAGAGAUAUGUGGGGAGAGCUGACCUGAGGCUGAGAAGAAACUAACGAUUGUUACAUACUUACAUGAUCCUUUUGGAAAAAUUGCAUGGGUAUUUAUUGACCCAUGGAAGAUACACGGUCACCGUUUCAGAUUUGUCAUGUUGUUUUGGCCCAGGGAAAACAAUAGAAAAUAAUGUAAUUAAAUUAUAAAGUUCUAUAUAUUAUAAUCAAUUAGUUAAAAUUAUCAUUUUAAAAAUGCAUAAAGCAUAUUUUUAUAACUGGAACCAAUAUAUUUUGAAAGAAAAUCAUAUUAAAUAGAGAGGAAAAUUUGUAAGAAAAAACGCACAAUAUAAUUUUAUUUUCCAUAUGGAAUAAAAAAAUCACUAAUAAAUGUCCCAAACAAAUAAAAUUAGUAUUCAAACAUAAAAUCUGGAAACUGUGGCAACUGGCCCCUUUAUCACUCAUGUAGAGACGCGAGGCAUAUCAAAAUAUCAAGUGUUGCCGAUAUAUAUGAAUGAUGAAUUGAUGAUGACUCCAUGGGUAUAUAAUGCUAAUUGUUGCCGAUAAGAAUUAAGAAUAAUGUGUACACGUCGACGUAUUUGGUCUUAGAUGUCUAUCAGGUAGUUCAUGUUUUUUGUAAUAAAGAAUCAUAUAUCAAACACUUAGCAGAAUAUGCAAAACUUCAGACAUGCUAAUUAAACCCUAAUUAAAAUAUCAAUCCGAGUUACUAAAAUCCAUCUCAAUAGAUUGAUUUCAUAAUUUUCAUUUCAUGAUUUUGUCAAAACUAAUUGAUCUUGAGUUGGUGUUCUUAACUAUAUCGUUUAUAUUGAUUUUUUAGUGCUCAACUGAUAGGGAAACUGGUAACGCAAACAGAUGUCUCUGUUUUUUAAUUUUGACGUAAGUCUUCUCAAAUCUACUAACAAACACCAGAUCUUAUCCGUAAGGCAUUAAAGAUUACCAGCUAUUUAAUCAAAUCUUCUCCAACCCACAAACAAAAUUUAAUGCCAUGUCAUUGUAAUAGUACAAAAAAAAUUCAAAGAGAAAUUAAAGUUUCACCAAACUAUCUUUUUGUUGUUGUUGUUGUUGUUGUUUUAAUUACAGUUUAUAAGCAAUGGAGGAUCUAAGAACAGAUUAUCAAAUCUUUUUAUACAUCUCUUUUUGGUUUAAUAAUUUCAUCAAACUUUUGAAUCACAACCAUGUUCCCAUCAUCUCUGCUUUUGCGGGUUCUCUCUAUAUUCUUACACUUAGCUUCGAGCUUCUUAAUGAUCAAUGCUCUUGGCUGUCGUCCCGACCAGAUUAUGCAUUUUAAGAACGAGUUUGAUUCCCGCAGUUGCAAUUAAACUGACUACUUCAAUGGAGUCCGGUGCGAUAACACGACGGGUGCUGUCACCAAGCUACAACUACCAAAUGGCUGUCUCAGUGGCAUUCUCAAGCCCAACAGUAGCCUCUUCGGGUUGCAUCAGCUCCGUCACCUUAAUCUCUCAAACAACAACUUCAUCUCCUCUUCACUUCCUUCCGAGUUUGGUAUUCUCAACAGAUUAGAGGUCUUAUCUCUUUCCUCUAACGGCUUCAUCGGCCAAGUUCCUUCUUCACUUAGUAAUCUAAGUCGGCUUUACUUGUUAGACCUUUCCCACAACCAGCUCACUGGUAGUUUCCCACUUGUGCAAAACCUAACCGAGCUAUCCAUUUUAUCGCUUUCUGAUAAUCACACUUCUCUGGGACACUGAGUCCUAACAGUAGCCUCUUUGAGUUGCACCACCUCCGUUACCUUGAUCUCGCUUACAACAACUUCACUUCCGCUUCUUCACUCUCUUCUCGUUUCGGCAGUCUCAACAGAUUAGAGUUCUUGUCUCUUUCCUCUAACGGCUUCAUCGGCCAAAUUCCUUCCUCAUUUAGUAACCUAACCUGGUUAAACCAGUUGGAUCUCUCACAUAACAAGCUCACUGGUAGUUUCCACCUUGUCCAAAAUCUCACCAAGCUUUUCUUUUUGAACCUUUCCUAUAAUCACUUUUCUGGAACCAUCCCUUCUCUGCUCACCAUGCCUUUCUUGUCAAAUCUUGAUCUCAGUAGAAAUUUUCUCACUGGUCCUAUUGAAGUUCCCAACUCCUCUUCAUCUAGGCUCGAACAUCUAUACAUUGGGAAUAACCAAUUUGAAGGACAGAUUCUAGAGCCUAUCUCAAAGCUCAUCACUCUCAAAUAUCUAGACAUUUCUUUUCUAAACAUAAGCUACCCAAUUGACUUAAGGCUCUUGUUCACUCUCAAAUCUUUGUUGAUACUUGAUAUUUCCGGUAAUAGUUUAUUGGAAACUAGUAUACAUUCAGAUUUAGACAUCCCAUUGAACUUGAAAAAACUGGACUUGUCCGGUUGUGGCAUUAAUCAGUUCCCAACCUUCUUAAAGAACCUUAAGAAAUUGGAGUAUAUAGACCUUUCCAACAAUAAAAUAAAAGGGAAAGUCCCUGAGUGGUUGUGGAACCUUCCUCGUCUGGGCAGAGUGAAUCUUUUAAACAAUUUGUUCACUGAUUUAGAAGGUUCGGGAGAAGUUUUACUGAAUUCAUCGGUGAGGUUUUUAGAUUUGGGUUAUAACCAUUUUAGAGGACCAUUUCCAAAACCACCACUCUCUAUCAACCUCUUAUCUGCAUGGAACAAUAGUUUCACAGGAAACAUACCUCUUGAAACCUGCAACCGAAGCUCUCUUGCUGUUCUUGACCUAUCCUACAACAACUUAACUGGUCCAAUUCCUCGUUGUUUGAGUAAUUUCCAAGAGUCUCUCAUUGUAGUGAACCUCCGGAAGAACAACUUGGAAGGAAGUCUUCCAGAUAUAUUCUCUGAUGGUGCCUUGCUUCGGACACUUGACGUUGGCUACAAUCAACUAACCGGGAAG